rnacentral:snRNA from 1 species
GGAUGUGAGGGCUAUCUGGUUGCGACAUCUGUCACCCCAUUGAUCGCCAGGGUUGAUUCGGCUGAUCUGGCUGGCUAGGCGGGUGUCCCCUUCCUCCCUCACCACUCCAUGUGCGUCCCUCCCGAAGCUGCGCCCUCCGUCGAAGAGGACGACCAUCCCGGACAGAGGAGGACCGGUCUUCGGUCAAGGGUAUAUGAGUAGCUGCGCUCCCCUGCUAGAACCUCCGAACAAGCUCUCAAGCUAUGUCUACAAACACAAAAUAAGAAAAAUUAUAUUA